rnacentral:lncRNA from 1 species
GGUUCAUAUUCUUUUAGAUAAGCAAAAAGAUUAGAACGCAAUAAUAUGUUAAUGUCACAAUACAAAAAGAAAUGAAAUUCGUCAUUUAGGACUCCACAUUUUUUACAUAAUCUUUGUGCUCUUGGAAUGUUUCUGUACCUUCCCAAUUCAAUGCCUAGAGAAUGAUCAUUCCGUCUAAAUUUUGAGAGUAACUGUCUAUGUAUAAAAUUAUUGCAAUUUAAAUAUUCCCCAGACUGACAAUUAGUUUUUAAUUUCCCAUAAAGACAAAGUUUGGAAGAGGAAUAAAAUUUUGAAAGUUUAUUUAAAGUAGUGUUUUCA